rnacentral:rRNA from 1 species
UGGGGCAAGCGUUGUUCGGAAUUACUGGGCAUAAAGGGUGCGUAGGCGGCUUGUUAAGUCAGGGGUGAAAGUUUUCGGCCCAACCGGAAAAUUGCCUUUGAUACUGGCGAGCUGGAGUGCGUGAGGGGUGACCGGAACGAGUGGUGUAGCGGUGAAAUGCGUAGAUAUCACUCGGAAGGCCAACGGCGAAGGCAGGUCACUGGUGCGCAACUGACGCUGAGGCACGAAAGCGUGGGGAGCAAACAGG